rnacentral:rRNA from 1 species
AUUGAACGCUGGAGGCAUGCCUUACACAUGCAAGUCGAACGGUAACUCGGGGCAACCUGGCGACGAGUGGCGAACGGGUGAGUAAUGCAUCGGAACGUGCCCAGUAGUGGGGGAUAACCCGGCGAAAGCCGGAUUAAUACCGCAUACGACCUAAGGGUGAAAGCGGGGGAUCGCAAGACCUCGGGCUAUUGGAGCGGCCGAUGUCAGAUUAGGUUGUUGGUGGGGUAAAGGCCUACCAAGCCUGCGAUCUGUAGCUGGGCUGAGAGGACGGCCAGCCAAACUGGGACGCUGACACGACCCAUCCUCCUACGGGAGGCAGCAUUGGGGAAUUUUUGACAAUGGGCGCAAUCCUGAUCCAGCCAUGCCGCGUGCGGGAAGAAGGGCUUCGCGUUGUAAACCGCCUUUGUCGGGGAAGAAAGCUUCUGAGCUAAUUCCUCGUGAGGAUGAGGGUACCCGAAGAAUAAGCACUGGCUAACUACGUGCCAGCCGCCGCCGUAACAC